AUACGGAGGGUGCAAGCGUUACUCGGAAUCACUGGGCGUAAAGGACGCGUAGGCGGGUUGUCAAGUCAGAUGUGAAAUCCUACAGCUUAACUGUAGAACUGCAUUUGAAACUGGCAACCUAGAGUAUGUGAGGGGGAGAUGGAAUUAGUGGUGUAGGGGUAAAAUCCGUAGAUAUCACUAGGAAUACCGAAAGCGAAGGCGAUCUCCUGGAACAUAACUGACGCUAAGGCGUGAAAGCGUGGGGAGCAAACAGAAUUAGAAACCCUAGUAGUCC
rnacentral:rRNA from 1 species